rnacentral:rRNA from 1 species
CCUGGGAACUGCGUUNUGAACUGGGUGACUAGAGUGUGUCAGAGGGAGGUAGAAUUCCACGUGUAGCAGUGAAAUGCGUAGAGAUGUGGAGGAAUACCGAUGGCGAAGGCAGCCUCCUGGGAUAACACUGACGUUCAUGCCCGAAAGCGUGGGUAGCAAACAGGAUUAGAUACCCUGGUAGUCCACGCCCUAAACGAUGUCGAUUAGCUGUUGGGCAGCAUGACUGCUUAGUAGCGAAGCUAACGCGUGAAAUCGACCGCCUGGGGAGUACGGUCGCAAGAUUAAAACUCAAAGGAAUUGACGGGGACCCGCACAAGCGGUGGAUGAUGUGGAUUAAUUCGAUGCAACGCGAAGAACCUUACCUGGUCUUGACAUGUACGGAACCCUCCAGAGACGGAGGGGUGCCUUCGGGAGCCGUAACACAGGUGCUGCAUGGCUGUCGUCAGCUCGUGUCGUGAGAUGUUGGGUUAAGUCCCGCAACGAGCGCAACCCUUGUCAUUAGUUGCCAUCAUUAAGUUGGGCACUCUAAUGAGACUGCCGGUGACAAGCCGGAGGAAGGUGGGGAUGACGUCAAGUCCUCAUGGCCCUUAUGACCAGGGCUUCACACGUCAUACAAUGGUCGGUACAGAGGGUAGCCAAGCCGCGAGGUGGAGCCAAUCUCACAAAACCGAUCGUAGUCCGGAUUGCACUCUGCAACUCGAGUGCAUGAAGUCGGAAUCGCUAGUAAUCGCAGGUCAGCAUACUGCGGUGAAUACGUUCCCGGGUCUUGUACACACCGCCCGUCACACCAUGGGAGUGGGGGAUACCAGAAGUAGGUAGGGUAACCGCAAGGAG